UUGGAGGGCAAGUCUGGUGCCAGCAGCCGCGGUAAUUCCAGCUCCAAUAGCGUAUAUUAAAGUUGCUGCAGUUAAAAAGCUCGUAGUUGAAUUUCGGGACCAUCAUGUCGGUCGUGCCUCGGUACGUACUGGCAUUGUUGGUUUCUCCCUUCUGACGAACCAUGAUGUCAUUUAUUUGGUGUUGUGGGGAAUCGGGACUGUUACUUUGAAAAAAUUAGAGUGUUUAAAGCAGGCUCACGCUUGAAUACAUUAGCAUGGAAUAAUGAAAUAGGACGUUUGAUUCUAUUUUGUUGGUUUCUAGGAUCGACGUAAUGAUUAAUAGGGAUAGUUGGGGGCAUUAGUAUUCAAUUGUCAGAGGUGAAAUUCUUGGAUUUAUUGAAGACUAACUACUGCGAAAGCAUUUGCCAAGGAUGUUUUCAUUAAUCAAGAACGAAAGUUAGGGGAUCGAAGACGAUCAGAUACCGUCGUAGUCUUAACCAUAAACUAUGCCGACUAGGGAUCGGAUGAUGUUAAUUUUUUAAUGACUCAUUCGGCGCCUUACGGGAAAC
rnacentral:rRNA from 1 species